ACCCCAUCCCAACAGCGUCACAAUGGAUCCCCAUGCAACAACACCUGAAUGCGACACCCAAUCCCGAUGCGACACCCGAAUGCAACAGCCCAUCCCAACAGUGCCACACUUGAAGGCAGCGUUGGAUCCCGACACAACGCCCCAUCCCAACAGCGUCACAUCGGAUCCCAGCAGCAACACCCCAUCCCAACAGCGCGACGCUUGAAGGCGGCAUCGGAUCCCAACACAACGCCCCAUCCCAACAGCGUAACAUCAGAUCCCAACACAGCAACACCCGAAUGCAACAGCCCAUCCCAACAGCGCGACACUUGAAGGCAGCAUCGGAUCCCAACACAACACCCCAUCCCAACAGCGUAACAUCAGAUCCCAACAGCAAC
rnacentral:lncRNA from 1 species